ACCAUGAGGUGGAAUCUGAAGGAAGCUGGAGGCAAAUUCUCGAACUGACGAACAGAAACUAUAUAUAAGGCGGAAGUGGGACGGACGAGUCUGCACACCAAGAUAAAGUCCAAUACUGCCCGAAUCCCAUACAGUAAAUAUAGCAGUUACAUGAGAAGAAGGUUAU
rnacentral:ncRNA from 1 species